rnacentral:tmRNA from 1 species
GGGGGCGACUUGGCUUCGACAGGGGUUGCGAAGCAGCGCGGGGCAUGCCAAGGCGCCUGUCCUUGUAAAAAACGAGCAAUCGCAAAUUUAACUGCGAACGACGAAACCUACGCUCUGGCGGCUUAAUCCCGCCGGACCUCGCACCGGGUGGCGCAUGGCCCGGGUGAUCUAACCGUCACAGCGAGGUCAGUUUCAUGCGCUCGUGCCGCACCGGGUUACUUGAUGCGGCAUUAAAUCUAGGUGACUGGCCAAACCGCAGCCUGCCCUUCGGCGGCGGAGGGGCGAGAGCCAAAUGAAACGGCUAAGCAUGUAGUCCCGACUGUAGAGGACCUUUGGACGCGGGUUCGAUUCCCGCCGCCUCCACCA